rnacentral:rRNA from 1 species
CUCCCUCUGGCGGCGUGCUUAACACAUGCCAGUCGCACGGAAAGGCCCUGCUUUUGUGGGGUGCUCGAGUGGCGAACGGGUGAGUAACACGUGAGUAACCUGCCCUUGACUUUGGGAUAACUUCAGGAAACUGGGGCUAAUACCGGAUAGGAGCUCCUGCUGCAUGGUGGGGGUUGGAAAGUUUCGGCGGUUGGGGAUGGACUCGCGGCUUAUCAGCUUGUUGGUGGGGUAGUGGCUUACCAAGGCUUUGACGGGUAGCCGGCCUGAGAGGGUGACCGGCCACAUUGGGACUGAGAUACGGCCCAGACUCCUACGGGAGGCAGCAGUGGGGAAUAUUGCACAAUGGGCGGAAGCCUGAUGCAGCAACGCCGCGUGCGGGAUGACGGCCUUCGGGUUGUAAACCGCUUUCGCCUGUGACGAAGCGUGAGUGACGGUAAUGGGUAAAGAAGCACCGGCUAACUACGUG